rnacentral:tRNA from 1 species
GCAAUUGGUGGUUUGGUGGUAGAAUUCUUGCCUUCCACGCAGGAGACCUGGGUUUAAUCUCUGGCCAAUGCA